AGCAGCCGCGGUAAUUCCAGCUCCAAUAGCGUAUAUUAAAGUUGUUGCAGUUAAAAAGCUCGUAGUUGAAUUUCGGGAUCAGUACGCUGGUCGUGCCUUGUGUAUGUACUGGUGUUACUGGUUCCUACCUUCUGACGAACCGUCAUGUCAUUAAUUUGGUGUGGCGGGGAAUCAGGACUGUUACUUUGAAAAAAUUAGAGUGUUUAAAGCAGGCUCGCGCUUGAAUACAUUAGCAUGGAAUAAUGAAAUAGGACGUUUGAUCCUAUUUUGUUGGUUUCUAGGAUUGACGUAAUGAUUAAUAGGGAUAGUUGGGGGCAUUAGUAUUCAAUUGUCAGAGGUGAAAUUCUUGGAUUCAUUGAAGACUAACUACUGCGAAAGCAUUUGCCAAGGAUGUUUUCAUUAAUCAAGAACGAAAGUUAGGGGAUCGAAGACGAUCAGAUACCGUCGUAGUCUUAACCAUAAACUAUGCCGACUAGGGAUCGGAUGAUGUUAAUUUUUUAAUGG
rnacentral:sRNA from 1 species